GCCCGGUUGGCUCAGUCAGUAGAGCAUGUGACUCUUGAUCUUGGGGUUGUGGAUUCAAGCUCCACACUGGGUG
rnacentral:tRNA from 1 species